GCCUGGGUGGCUCAGUCGGUUGAGCGGCUGACUUCGGCUCAGGUCAUGAUCUCGCAGUCGUGAGUUCAAGCCCCGCAUCGGGCU
rnacentral:tRNA from 1 species